rnacentral:rRNA from 1 species
ACAUGCAAGUCGAACGGCAGCACAGAAGAGCUUGCUCUUUGGGUGGCGAGUGGCGGACGGGUGAGUAAUGUCUGGGAAACUGCCCGAUGGAGGGGGAUAACUACUGGAAACGGUAGCUAAUACCGCAUAACGUCGCAAGACCAAAGUGGGGGACCUUCGGGCCUCACACCAUCGGAUGUGCCCAGAUGGGAUUAGCUAGUAGGUGGGGUAAUGGCUCACCUAGGCGACGAUCCCUAGCUGGUCUGAGAGGAUGACCAGCCACACUGGAACUGAGACACGGUCCAGACUCCUACGGGAGGCAGCAGUGGGGAAUAUUGCACAAUGGGCGCAAGCCUGAUGCAGCCAUGCCGCGUGUAUGAAGAAGGCCUUCGGGUUGUAAAGUACUUUCAGCGGGGAGGAAGGCGGUGAGGUUAAUAACCUUGCCGAUUGACGUUACCCGCAGAAGAAGCACCGGCUAACUCCGUGCCAGCAGCCGCGGUAAUACGGAGGGUGCAAGCGUUAAUCGGAAUUACUGGGCGUAAAGCGCACGCAGGCGGUCUGUUAAGUCAGAUGUGAAAUCCCCGGGCUUAACCUGGGAACUGCAUUUGAAACUGGCAGGCUUGAGUCUCGUAGAGGGGGGUAGAAUUCCAGGUGUAGCGGUGAAAUGCGUAGAGAUCUGGAGGAAUACCGGUGGCGAAGGCGGCCCCCUGGACGAAGACUGACGCUCAGGUGCGAAAGCGUGGGGGAGCAAACAGGAUUAGAUAC